ACCUGGCUGGCUCAGUUGGCAGAGUGUGUGACUCUCGAUCUCAGGGUUGUGGGUUCGAGCCCCACGUUGGGUG